GCCAGUGCGAUGUGUGUCGGUUUCCUCCCGCGCGAAACGACGCGUUUGACAAGCAAAGUGUUCUUUCAGGAUUAAAAAGCGGUUCUUCUUCAGCCGGAUUAAACUCCUCCGUUCAUUUUCCGGCGCUCGGAUUUAAGGAUUACCGCCGCUGGAAGAUGAGAAGCAGCGGCUCGAAGCUGUCCGGAAACGUUGAAUCCUUCAGCACCAACGGGCCAGUCGAAAAUGGAUUUCCACCAAAAGAGAAAUUGCCAACCAUUCAGAUCGACUCGGCGCCUUCUCCUCCAAACAGCCCCAAUGAAGAAGAGGAACCUCUAGACGCGGAACAGGUCGACAUCAACUGGGAGGAAGACCAGGAGCAGGAGGUUUUGUCAGACUCCGAAAAUUUGAGAGCGUUUCUAAAGCUCUACGUUGAAGAUCUCUUAUUACAAGCCAUGGUCAUUGCCCAAAAAAAGUUACAGUUCGUCGGUGUGGCCGAAGAGGACGAGUCGGAGGAGGAGACUCUGCAGACAGACUCUUCGCUCGUGCCAGCCCCUCCCACUCCGGACGGAUCCGAGAAGGAGGUGGAGGAGGAAGAGGAGGAGGAAGACGAAGAUGCCCUGAUCCGGGAAGCCGCGGAGAAAGUCGUGGAGGAAGUCCUCACCAAGGCUACUGAAUUGGUCACCGAAAGGCUGGAACAACUGGCCUCGCUGGAGUUUCCGAUCACUUUCGACGAAGCCCCUGAAGACGUGCGAGACGCGGCCACGCGCUUCAUCAAAGAGAUUGUCGGCAAAGCCGUUGCCAUGGCAGAAGAGAAAGCUGUCCCAACCGUGCCCUUCAAUUUUGAAGACGUAGAUCUGAUAAAGACGUCUGGUCCCUGGUACAUCCGGGCCAGAGAGGCUCUUGUGAGGGUACUUCGCACCGCCUGCUUUUGCACACCCCGGAGACAUGAUUCCUGAACUUGAAUUCCUCGACCGACAGACUUUGUUCGCUGUUCUUUCCAAUUCGUGUUCUCUCCGCAUGGAUCCUCCAGAGAAACCGCGGCUCAGACAUUAGACUCCACUCAGUGUUUUGCUCGUUCGAAUCGUCUUCACCGCCAACGCCACGUUUCUGUAACUGACAAGGAGAGUUCGUGGAACAUGUGACCGGAAGAAAUCUUCUUACUUAAAACAUGCUUAAUCGAUUCCGGAAGAAACUGCUCACCACUUGUGUUGCCAGAGUUUUGAAACAUGAAAGUCACCCGUGGAGAAGUUUGAUUUCGAGAUCAAUUUCAUUUCAUGAUUUGGUUUUUUUCAAUGGAAAAUAUUUGGGAAAGACUCAAAAUAGUAAAAAGAUAGCGAAAUGGAUCUUCUCUCGAAAGAAACUUCAUUAGAGUCCCUAAUACUCUAGCAAAAGUCAGAUUCUGAGAUCAGUGGGAUUCCCCGAUAUGAUCCUUUAACGUGGGUUUCAUAACCACUUUAUUACUUCGCUACACAAAAUUUUUAUAUUGAAGGUAUCAUUUGUUUGAUUAAAAAUUCUCGUUAAAAAGUUAAAUUUUCUUUUACCCGGAUUUCGAUCUUACAGUUAUAUAUAUACGAGGAUAACAACGAAAAAUCAAACUUAGAUUUCAAAAUGAAUUCUUUUUACCCCUUAUCUUUCACUCAAAGCAAUUAUCAAUUAAUUCGUCCAACUUUUAAGCAUAACAUGGUUUUUAAGAGGGCUAUCUGAGUCAAAACAGAAAUUGAUCUUAGAAAUAGACAUAAAAGUGUACUCAAAGUGAAUAACUAAACAGAAACUAAAAUUUCUCUAGUCUGCUAAGAAAAGAAAAACCAUUAUGAUCUUCUUGGCGUAACUACGUUAUUGACGGUAUUUUCUUUCAAUACAGAUCGCAUUACAGCUCCCAAAUGCUUCAGCCUUAAAAUUAAAAAAAAAAACGUAUUUUAAAUUUGAUACUCUAUACAGAACCCUCUAAUUUUGCCGUCAAUUUUUAGCAAUACAGUUCCCUAAAUGUAUUUAUGAGUAAAUCUCAAGAAAAUAUUUUAUUUUCACACAUGUUUGAAAAGAAUGUUUAAACUCAAGAAUUUUAUUUAUUGUGCGGUCCGGGCUUAAUUUGUUAUAAAAGACAUGAUUAAGCUCUGUAAUUUUCAGAACUCAUUUUCAUUUGUAAAUGCUUUGAAUCCCGACUAAUGUGUAAAAUUUCACAUAAAGUUAAAAGAAAGUACCAGUAAGCUCCCACAAAAAUUGAGCACUAAAAUUUUACAACAUGGAUAUGUUUUCUUCAAUUUUUUUACAAUGCAUUUACUUAUUGUUGUUGCUGUCAUGUGCCAGUCAGGCUGGCAAUUUGGGGUGCGCUGCUUCACUUUUCCAACUGUACCGUAAUUUGGUGUGAAGUCCGACUUCUACAGUACACACAUGCCAUAGGGACCGGUUUAUAGGAUAGGCUACCAUUCACAUCCCAACAACACAUUCACACAAAGAACAAGAGAGAGAAAGUACGUUAAUACCCGAGCCGGGAUUCGAACCCGGACCGUCCUGUCGCAGUCAGACUUCUCUGACCACUAGACAAGGCAGACGGCAAUGCAAUUACUUUCCAGAGCUGAUUGAAGCCUUGAACGCAUUUAGAAUUAAAGUAAUACUGAUUCCCAGGGGUGUCCCCCCUAAGUAUUGCGAACCCCCCCCCUCCAAAAAAAGCGCGAGCCGCCCCCGCAAAUGCGACAAAUACCCCUCAAGACAACACCCUCCCCCUAAAAAUUUCAGUGGCGGAGUCUGCGUCACGACCCCCCCCCCCUCUCCACCUUGGUGGGCAUCCCUGCUGAUUCCUAAAAAUUUGCUGUUCAUCCGCUGAUGAUGAGAAUUAAAUUUGAGUUAUUUGAUAUUAAACAUUCAAAUGACUAUAAAAAUGAAAGCUUUAUCUUAGAAUAGUUUGAGACUCAGAUAUUCGAAAACAAAAAGAAAUGUCUACUGUGUGGAAAAUGAUGCCCUAUUUAUUACUGGUUGAUUGCCAGAAGACUUAUAGUAUUUGUUUUGUUACAAGUGUUAUUAAUUGUUUGUGGAUUAAAAAACAGAUGAAUGGAAUUCUUCAGUGUUUGGAAGUGUUUACUUGUUGCGCUUUUCCUCGUACUACCUGAUCUGCUUUAAAUGAAGUUCGUUUUAAAAAUCCCCCCCCCCCUCUGCUGCUUGGAAGAAUUUUCGAACAGUUCUUUGCUAGGUGAGAACGGAGGAGCUUCUUAACCUGAAAGAACAGACCAAAUGGACUUCUACAAAUGACAUAUUUUCCUAAAGCCAUAAAUCAAAAGUUGUAUGUAUGCUACUGUAUGUUUUUAAAUUCGUGUUCAAAAUGAAAUGGAGGAAGAAAAUAGACGUCAAAGUUGUAUGAAAAAAAGCUGUGCUGUCUUAGCUGUCGUUUCUGUUUUAACUGUCGUCUUUUUGUGUCAAAAUAUUAAAAGACUUAAAGUAUGCAUGUCAACCCAUGCCAUUUCAAUAUGUCUCGUUUUAUGCCAACCAACGUUCUUUUAAUUUUCAAAUACAUUUGUUGAAAGUUUUUCAUGUACAUUAAAAGUUUUUCAUGUACAUUAAUUGAUAAUGUAAAAAAGCUUAAAUAAAUUUAGUUCGAAAAUUAAUUGAAAGACUCGUGAAAAUUUUAUCGAUUGGAAUCAGAGAAAGGAUCGGCUAUAAUACAUAUGUAAACGGCACAACAAUCAAUAAAAUAAUGUUAUUAAA